rnacentral:ribozyme from 1 species
UGCCCAGCAACUCCUAUCCCUACCUCCACUCGGUACCGGCCGGAAACUAUGAGCAACCUUAGGGAAGA